GUUCCCAAAAAAGAAUAAAUCAGAAUCAAAAGUAACAGAACUACUCCAACCUGCUGCCACCUUGAGCGGCGCAAUUCUAGAGAAAGGAAGCACUCUGAGGACUCGCAGGAGAUUUACGAGACUCACGUGUCUCUCCAUGGGGCCCAAUUACAUAUGGCAUGUAGAUGGUUACGACAAACUGAAGCCAUUCGGCUUGGCGCUCUCAGGAUGUAUAGAUGGUUUUUCAAGAAGAAUGAUGUGGCUUGUUUGUGGAAAUACAAACAGCAAUCCUUCUGUGAUUGCUCUCAAUUAUAUAAACUUUGUCAAGAGUUUUGGAGUUAUACCAAUGAGACUACGAACCGACCUCGGGACCAAGAAUGGGACUAUGGCAGCAAUACAGUGUACCCUCCGUCAUGCGCAUAUGGACUAUUAUGCUGAAACAUCAAGCCACAGUUCCAGAUCGUCAACAGGGAAUCAACACAUCGAGUCAUGGUGGUAAUUUUUCAGAAGAGGAAGGUCUCAGUUUUGGAUGGACUUGUUUGGAGAUCUAAGAGACUCCGGAAACUUCAAUGGAAGCCACGCACAUCAUGCCUGCUGAGAUUCUACUUCAGCAGUGUUUUGCAGAAAGACCUGGAUGAAUGCAAAGACCUCUGGAACAAACACAGAAUCCGACCAUGCAGACUUGCAUCAUGUCCUUGGGGGAUUCCAAAAGAACUCUAUCUCUUGCCUCACAGAUAUCGUUCAAGAGACUGUGGAUUUGCUGUUGAGGAGAGGGAACUGGAUGUGUUCCCUGCGGCAAGGCAAGCGACUGAUUUGUGUGGUGAUCAAAACAUUGAGGAAUACCUACAACAGGCUGUACAACAAAAU